rnacentral:lncRNA from 1 species
CUUAUGAUGGUCCUGGCCCAUUGUGGACGCUCAAUUUGGCUAACAGAAGCCACGGACAGAUAAAUCACCAGCAGCCUGGUGCUUUGGCAGACAUAUUUUGGCGUCUCUGGUCAACCUUGUGGAAAAGGGAGUUCGUGCGUGGAGAGAACUUUGGAUGCUGUCAGAAGCAGCCCUCUACGGAUGUCCAGCCAUUCUGAGGCUGUGACCACUUCUAGGCAGAGACUUCUAGAGACUUCUGGCAUAGCUCCUGGAAUUCAGUGGAUUUUCAAGACAUACUUAUAUUUAAUGAAUUAACAAUAAAAGGAGAAGUAAGGACAAAAACUGUUACAUUUUACUUAUCUGACUCCAAGGAGACAUAGGAUUCCUGAAUUCUUUUUUAAAAAAUACUUUGCUUACUGGCAUGGUGGCACACACUUUUAAUACCAGCA